ensembl:ncRNA C54G7.12 ncRNA
AAUAAAGAGCUGCGAUCCAUAUGAGAUAAAAGAAUAAUACACUGAGAGGGGAGGCAAUCUUCAGCACUCGGCAGAUCGCAACCCUUCUGAGCCCACAAAUAAAAACACAGACCGUUUGGGAGGCAUGGGCUCUCCAGUCACUUUCGAAAUGCCUUGUUUGAUUGUGUAUAUACCCGAAAAUUCUUUAUCUCAUCCACCUCUUGGCUG